rnacentral:rRNA from 1 species
AACGAACGCUGGCGGCAUGCCUAACACAUGCAAGUCGAACGAAAACUCCGGGUCUUGUGGCGCACGGGUGCGUAACGCGUGGGAACUUGCCCUUAGGUUCGGAAUAACUCCCCGAAAGGGGUGCUAAUACCGGAUAAUGUCUUAGGACAAAAGAUUUAUCGCUUUUGGAUGGGCCCGCGUUGGAUUCGCUGGUUGGUAGGGUAAAAGCCUACCAAGGCGUCGAUCCAUAGCUGGUCUGAGAGGAUGAUCCGCCACACUGGGGCUGAGACACGGCCCAGACUCGUACGCAAGGGAGGAGAGGGUAAUAUAGGACAAGGGGGGAAGGCCUGAUCCAGCAAUGCCGGGUAAGUGAUGAUGGCCGUAGGGUAGUAAAGCUCUUUUAGCCGGGAUGAUAAUGACGGUACCGGGUGAAUAAGCACCGGCUAACUCCGUG